CUUACCAUGAAAUGCAGCUGGAUCAUCCUCUUCUUGAUGGCACUAGCUACAGGGGUCAACUCAGAAGUCCAGCUGCAGCAGUCUGGGGCUGAGCUUGUGAGACCUGGGACCCCUGUGAAGUUAUCUUGCAAAGUUUCUGGCGAUACCAUUACAUCAUACUACAUGCACUUUGUGAAGCAAAGGCCUGGACAGGGACUGGAAUGGAUAGGAGGGAUUGAUCCUGAGGAUGAUAGUACUGAUUAUGCUGAGAAGUUCCAAAGCAAGGCCACACUCACUGCAGACACAUCCUCCAACACAGCCUACAUCCAGCUUAGCAGCCUGACAUCUGAGGACACUGCAACCUAUUUUUGUACCACACACGGUGUUGCAACCACAUCCUGA